CGGAGAGUUUGAUUCUGGCUCAGAACGAACGCUGGCGGCGUGGAUAAGACAUGCAAGUCGAACGAGAUCUUCAGCUAGCUUGCUAGCAGAAGUGAAAGUGGCGGACGGGUGCGUAACACGUGAGCAACCUACCCUGGAGUGGGGGACAACUCUCCGAAAGGAGGGCUAAUACCGCAUGUAGAUCUUCGGAUCAAAGGUGGCUUCGGCUGCCGCUCCUGGAUGGGCUCGCGGCCUAUCAGCUUGUUGGUGAGGUAACGGCUCACCAAGGCUAUGACGGGUAGCUGGUCUGAGAGGACGAUCAGCCUCACUGGAACUGAGACACGGUCCAGACACCUACGGGUGGCAGCAGUCGAGAAUCAUUCACAAUGGGCGAAAGCCUGAUGGUGCAACGCCGCGUGGAGGAUGACGGCCCUAGGGUUGUAAACUCCUGUCAUCUGGGAGUAAUCCUUGUUCGUUAAUAGCGUGCAAGGUUGAUAGUACCAGAAGAGGAAGCGCCGGCUAACUCCGUGCCAGCAGCCGCGGUAAUACGGAGGGCGCAAGCGUUGUUCGGAAUCACUGGGCGUAAAGCGUGCGUAGGCGGCGCAGUAAGUCAGAUGUGAAAUCUCUGGGCUCAACCCGGAAACUGCAUCCGAUACUGCUGCGCUAGAGUAAUGGAGGGGUAGCUGGAAUUCUCGGUGUAGCAGUGAAAUGCGUAGAUAUCGAGAGGAACACUCGUGGCGAAGGCGAGCUACUGGACAUUUACUGACGCUGAGGCACGAAGGCCAGGGUAGCGAAAGGGAUUAGAUACCCCUGUAGUCCUGGCAGUAAACGGUGCGCGCUUGGUGUGGGAGGACUCGACCCCUUCCGUGCCGGAGCUAACGCGUUAAACGCGCCGCCUGGGAAGUACGGCCGCAAGGCUAAAACUCAAAG
rnacentral:rRNA from 1 species